AGGGCUGACGAGUCCGAAAUAGGACGAAACGCGCGUUCUGGAU
rnacentral:hammerhead_ribozyme from 1 species